GACGAACGCUGGCGGCGUGCUUAACACAUGCAAGUCGAACGGAAAGGCCCUGCUUUUGUGGGGUGCUCGAGUGGCGAACGGGUGAGUAACACGUGAGUAACCUGCCCUUGACUUUGGGAUAACUUCAGGAAACUGGGGCUAAUACCGGAUAGGAGCUCCUGCUGCAUGGUGGGGGUUGGAAAGUUUCGGCGGUUGGGGAUGGACUCGCGGCUUAUCAGCUUGUUGGUGGGGUAGUUGCUUACCAAGGCUUUGGCGGGUAGCCGGCACGGGAGGGGGACCGGGCAAAAGGGGAAUGAGGGAAGGGCCAGGGGGGAAAGGGGGGGAAGAGGGGGGAAUAAUGGAAAAAGGGAGGAAGCCUGAUGCAGCAACGCCGCGUGCGGGAUGACGGCCUUCGGGUUGUAAACCGCUUUCGCCUGUGACGAAGCGUGAGUGACGGUAAUGGGUAAAGAAGCACCGGCUAACUACGUG
rnacentral:rRNA from 1 species